rnacentral:rRNA from 1 species
UACGGGGGGGGCAAGCGUUGUUCGGAAUUACUGGGCGUAAAGGGCUCGUAGGCGGCCAACUAAGUCAGACGUGAAAUCCCUCGGCUUAACCGGGGAACUGCAUCUGAUACUGGAUGGCUUGAGUUCGGGAGAGGGAUGCGGAAUUCCAGGUGUAGCGGUGAAAUGCGUAGAUAUCUGGAGGAACACCGGUGGCGAAGGCGGCAUCCUGGACCGACACUGACGCUGAGGAGCGAAAGCCAGGGGAGCAAAGCGGGG